rnacentral:rRNA from 1 species
GGAUGAACGCUGGCGGCGUGCCUAAUACAUGCAAGUCGAGCGAACAGACAAGGAGCUUGCUCCUUUGACGUUAGCGGCGGACGGGUGAGUAACACGUGGGUAACCUACCUAUAAGACUGGGAUAACUUCGGGAAACCGGAGCUAAUACCGGAUAAUAUUUCGAACCGCAUGGUUCGAUAGUGAAAGAUGGUUUUGCUAUCACUUAUAGAUGGACCCGCGCCGUAUUAGCUAGUUGGUAAGGUAACGGCUUACCAAGGCGACGAUACGUAGCCGACCUGAGAGGGUGAUCGGCCACACUGGAACUGAGACACGGUCCAGACUCCUACGGGAGGCAGCAGUAGGGAAUCUUCCGCAAUGGGCGAAAGCCUGACGGAGCAACGCCGCGUGAGUGAUGAAGGUCUUCGGAUCAUAAAACUCUGUUAUUAGGGAAGAACAUACGUGUAAGUAACUAUGCACGUCUUGACGGUACCUAAUCAGAAAGCCACGGCUAACUACGUGCCAGCAGCCGCGGUAAUACGUAGGUGGCAAGCGUUAUCCGGAAUUAUUGGGCGUAAAGCGCGCGUAGGCGGUUUUUUAAGUCUGAUGUGAAAGCCCACGGCUCAACCGUGGAGGGUCAUUGGAAACUGUAAAACUUGAGUGCAGAAGAGGAAAGUGGAAUUCCAUGUGUAGCGGUGAAAUGCGCAGAGAUAUGGAGGAACACCAGUGGCGAAGGCGACUUUCUGGUCUGUAACUGACGCUGAUGUGCGAAAGCGUGGGGAUCAAACAGGAUUAGAUACCCUGGUAGUCCACGCCGUAAACGAUGAGUGCUAAGUGUUAGGGGGUUUCCGCCCCUUAGUGCUGCAGCUAACGCAUUAAGCACUCCGCCUGGGGAGUACGACCGCAAGGUUGAAACUCAAAGGAAUUGACGGGGACCCGCACAAGCGGUGGAGCAUGUGGUUUAAUUCGAAGCAACGCGAAGAACCUUACCAAAUCUUGACAUCCUUUGACAACUCUAGAGAUAGAGCCUUCCCCUUCGGGGGACAAAGUGACAGGUGGUGCAUGGUUGUCGUCAGCUCGUGUCGUGAGAUGUUGGGUUAAGUCCCGCAACGAGCGCAACCCUUAAGCUUAGUUGCCAUCAUUAAGUUGGGCACUCUAAGUUGACUGCCGGUGACAAACCGGAGGAAGGUGGGGAUGACGUCAAAUCAUCAUGCCCCUUAUGAUUUGGGCUACACACGUGCUACAAUGGACAAUACAAAGGGCAGCGAAACCGCGAGGUCAAGCAAAUCCCAUAAAGUUGUUCUCAGUUCGGAUUGUAGUCUGCAACUCGACUACAUGAAGCUGGAAUCGCUAGUAAUCGUAGAUCAGCAUGCUACGGUGAAUACGUUCCCGGGUCUUGUACACACCGCCCGUCACACCACGAGAGUUUGUAACACCCGAAGCCGGUGGAGUAACCAUUUGGAGCUAGCCGUCGAAGGUGGGACAAAUGAUUGGGGUGAAGUCGUAACAAGG